GAGUUUGAUCGUGGCUCAGGAUAAACGCUGGCGGCGCACAUAAGACAUGCAAGUCGAACGGACCAAACCUAUAGUUUACUAUUGGAGAGGUUAGUGGCGGACUGGUGAGUAACGCGUAAGCAAUCUGCCUAUCAGAGGGGAAUAACAGUGAGAAAUCACUGCUAAUACCGCAUAAGCUGUGAGUAUCGCAUGAUACAAAUAGAAAAGGAGCAAUCCGCUGAUAGAUGAGCUUGCGUCUGAUUAGUUAGUUGGUGGGUAAAGGCUUACCAAGACGAUGAUC
rnacentral:rRNA from 1 species